rnacentral:lncRNA from 1 species
AGACUGGAACGGCCUUCCCUAUGUCUUCGUUGCCAUCGCCAACUCACAUGCCUUCGUUGACACUGUGGAGAUGAGAGCAGAAAGUCAUUCCCAGCUUUUCCCUAAGGAGUCGCUGCUCUACCUAAGUCCAGAUGCACCUGAGGCCCUCCCAGCUACACCCUUGGAAUCCAACACUGUUUACGUUAUUGGAGGCCUUGUGGAUGAAACUGUUCAUAAGAAUAUUAGCCUG